rnacentral:lncRNA from 1 species
GGCAGCUCACUUCCGUUGUGGCUUUUUUUAUUUGCGUCCUUUUAUUUUUGCAUUAAGUAACUUUUUUUUUCCAUCGCUACUUUUUUUGCGUCAUUAAUUUCUGUUGUGGCUUUUUUUUAAAUCUGCAUUGUUUCUUGUUUUAUUUGCAGCAGGCUUCUUUUUUUUUCUUUUUUCUUUGCAUAGGUAACUUCUGUUGUGACUGCAUUUAUUUUCAUUCUUCUUUUAUUUGCAGCAGUGGCGGCUCUCGGCCACCGUAGGUUUUAGCUAAACCGCUUCAGAAACAGCUGUUUUUACAUUUUACACCUUAAAUAUUCACAACUGCUAUAUCUGAUGGUCAAAAGUCUUCAUUACACCUGAAGUAAAGCUGAGGAAUAGAUUUAAAUCAUGGGUAAUAGUUUUUAAUAAUCUUGAAUCCAUCAAAAUAACCAUAAUUAUGACUUUUACUGUAUGUUGAAGUGGUUCAUGUCUGCAGGGUGGCCUGGGCUGGACCCCCAGGCCUCCUGUUCUCUAAGUCCGCCCCUGUCUACACGAGGGAAACGCUGGAUUUCCUGUUUUAGAGAGUUUAGUGUCUCAAACCUCAGACAGGAUGAUAACUAAAGUAACAGAGAGAGUAGUAACCAGAGCGUUUAGCAGUUACUAUGGAAACCGAGUGUGUGAAUGUCACGUGGUGGUGGGGGGGUCCUCCUCCUCCUCCAUUCCGGUUUCACUUCCUGGUUCAUCCAUCAGGUCAGGAGAACAAGCACACCUGUAACAUUAGAUAGUUUUUGUUUGUUCUAACAUGUCGUGUCCUUUUCCUGGAGGGGCCCGCGGACUGUGGAGCUGCUCUCCUCCGCACAGAGUUUCCCUUUUUACGGGUGGAGAGGGUCUUCAGAGCCCGGCUGGAUGAUUGCUCGUUUCUGUGGGACAGAAACCGCUUCUCUUCUCGCUCCAUCGUGUACUUACAUGAUCUCCUCCAGUGUCACCCUCCGUGGGUGUGCUCUGUCCUCCGCCGGGAGGUUCCUCUGUCAUAUCGAGGGUGAGGAACACAUCAGUGAAUCCACGGCCUGCAGGACUGUCAGGAAAGAGUGUGAGGAUCUGAGACACCUGCCGAGAACCUUCGUGGUGUUUCCUGGACACAAACCAGUGAGUGAUGAGAGAGGAGUUCAACAGGAUUAAAGGUAAAUGAGACAGCAAAAAACAACUUCAUACGUAAAUGAUGAAAAACUAAAAACACACAAUCAUAAAACAUCUGCAAAAGGAAAAAAUAAGAGUCUUUUUUAAUGUGUUUUUAAAGCUGCACUGUUAUUUUUGCACCUGCAGCAGAUUUGAUCAGGAUCGUUCAGGUCUUUGCAGAUCUGUCCUUGUCUGCAGACGAACCUGUGAAGUAAAUAAAACAUUAAAAAUACCCUCCCUGAGGAAAGCCUGGAAAAAUGCUGCCCUCUCUUUGGAUGGAGUAGAAACACAGUGACCUCUGGAUGCCCUCGUAAAUAAAACAUAAUAAAAAAAAAACUAUCAGAUUCACGGUCACUGGAUUAAACAGGAACACAGGCUGUAUAGGUAACAUAGAUUUAAUUAUCAUGCAGUUUCUGUGUUGAGUUAAAUUCUUUAAGUCUUUUUUUUUAACUUAAAGGGAUAUUCCUGUGUAAAAUUAAUUUAAUUAGUUAGACCCCCCCUCCAGAGAUGAAUGUUGCCGACCGCUUGCUUCUCUAGUUAUACCAACUUUAGUAACGACCGCAGGAUAGAAAUACAGAGAGACACGCCCCCAACCAAAACGCCACUCUAUAGCCACAAAUAAUGCUCAGAACAGCACCUAACUUCAGCGGGGUGACGCUCAAGGAUCAUGAUCUAACAAUCAUGAUUAAAUCAUAGAUGUCUAUGUGCAGAAGAAACCUCUGGAUAUCUAACUGAAGUUUAUCUGAUGGAGUUUGUUCCUCUGAAUGGAGAAGAAUAUCUACUCUGUUCAUAACAAAUGAAGACUUAAUGCUGCUUUCUAUAGUCUACACACAGACUUAAAGAAGGGUCAGUGGAGAGGUAAAUAUAAUAAACAUAAAAUAGAGAUUCAGCUCAGUUAAAAAAACAUAAUUCAGCCCUCGAGAGCUUUUUAAAGAGAGGAGAAUAAAACAGGCGCUGAUAAAGGAAACCGUAAAAACACAGAAACAGAGGAGCUGAGGCCGACACAAGAUUAUCGUUAACAUUCACUGUUUAAAGCUCCUGUGAGGAGAGCUGGUUUUAGCGCCCCCCUCUGGACAAAACAGUGCUUGAUAACUCUGUCCUUGACACGCUAACCCUAAAAGAUCUCAGGUGACGCUUAUCCCUCCCGUUCAGGCAUUAAAAUAAUCCCUGAGUAAACACUGAUCGUCUUCUCCCUGAUGGUCGAGUUUGUUUUUGUCAUAAAAAGACGUCAGUGAGAAUUUUAGUCGAUUAUUUCAACAUAAAGGCGGAAAUGUAAGUAAAGAAAUACGAUCACUGAUCAAUUCUGGUCGAGUUUAAUGAUGAAAAUGAGCAAAGUGAUCAUGGUGCAUGUAAAAAGAAGCAGAACAGGAAAUCAAUAAAUAAUCAAUCAGUAAAUAACAUGAGUGUUAAUGCAGAGGUGAUCACAGUGAACAUAGAAGAGCUCAGGGGGGGAUAAAUAUUCAACAUACUGCAUUAAAUAUUCUGAGUAAGUAAACAUGAAGUACUGCAUGUAUAAAGAGUAAAUUAAUACAUGAUCAGCUGUAAAACGUAGACCUAUAACAGUAGAUGUUCUCAUUAAAGCUCUGCAUCCUGCUCUUUAACGGUCUCACACAGUCCCUGAAGAAUUGAUUGGUCAUGAUUUGCUGACUCAUGAUAACGGCGCUCUCUGCGUGUAGUUCGGUCUUGACUGUGGUUACAGGACGGCUCCAGUGUCUUGUGGGUUUCUGGCUCGGAUAAGUGUCCUCCAGGGAGUCCUUCAGUUGUGUUCUGGCUCAGGACCAGAUCCUCUGCCUCUGUCAGAGAAUAAAAGCCUCCGUACUUUCCUUCAAACCACGGUUACAGCACAUGUGACGGGUUUAUGGUGCCGUGUCUCUGGGUCUGCGGGAGGUGAAAUGUUACGGCUGCAGCUUUAUUUAACCUCACAGAGCUGCUGCUGCUGCUGCUGCUGCAGGUCUUUGACUCUUCAUGGUGGGGUCAGUGAGAGAAAAUGAGCUGCUGCUAACCUCCACCAAUGACCUCCAGAUGAACGAGAUAAGGUCUAUCAUCGGCGGAGACAUGUGCCACUUCACCUCUGUCCUUCAGCUGUCAUUACAGAGGAGGGGUCUGGGUUUAAAAGACACCUGUCAAAUAAAAGACCAACAAUCUCUUCAUUUUAAAUCAAUUUUAAAGUCGAACUGAAAUCGUAAAACAAACAAAAAGAAUAAAAGAGAAACGCUCGAGUGAAAACAUGAUCACACCUCGGCCCACGGCUCUGGAGGAUCGUGACGUUUGGAGUCGUUUGUGUGUUUUUUUCUGACUGAUCCUGAUUCUCCUCCAGUGAGUUUUACGUCAUCAAUAUGAGACAAACGUCACCGUUGUUCAACAACACGAACAGGCGCAGAAAGCAGUUUGUGCUUUGUGGACAUGAGGGUCACUUCACGGACGCAUUCGUUGUUGUAACGUGAACGACCGCACAAAAAGAUCGGAUCGAACAAAAAAUCCGAAUUGUGCGUCAGAACCUGCAGAGUGAACGUAGCCUGAGAUAAUGGCUGAGUACAGAUGAACCAGUUGUUUUAAUAAAAUCUUCACUGUUUAAUUUUUUUUUAUUUUCAGCGGGCUUCGUUUUUUUUUCUUUAAUGGUUAACUUCCAUUGUGGCUGCUUCUUUUUUUUCCAUUCUUUUUUAUUUGCAGCAGUGGCGUUUCUCGGCCACCGUACUUUUCAAACCAUCGGCACCCUUUCACAAUAAAACUCUCAACACCUCCACUCUUUCAGCUCUAAGGUUCGACUAAGACUAGAUCAUAACAGUGAGUCGUUUUUUCAGAUACAGAAACCAUUUUUAAUCUUUGGACUUCAUUUUGUUUUUCUUCAGAUAAACCGGCGGCUGUUUUCGACUCUCCCUGAUCCUCUUUACAGAAACCUUUGACCUCUUUAAACUCCCACAAACGCUGAAAAAGUCUUUUUUUCUUUUUGUACGAAUCUAAACACAAACAUUUGUCCUAAUUAUCCGACAUUUUUGACCUUUGAACCCUUUGCUAAAAGCGCUUUAACAACAGAAUGGAAACAGAAUUGAAGUCCUGACCGGUCUGAGUGAAUAUUAAACGCCUCUCAAGGUCGCCGAGAGCAACACAACAGCUAAUGAGAUACAGGAGAGGCCCGGGCGACCGCCAGCGUUUGAAUCUGUUUGAUCGAACCCGGGGCACAUGAGCGUUUGUAGCCUGAACAGAUAGUGAGACGGCUCCAACCUCCGGGGCGGAACAAAGAAGAGACGGCGGCGUCCACGGCGGGACCCGGAGCACAGGUUUGAUAUAACACCCCCCCUCCACCUCCUGCUGUUAUAAAUCUGAACCCCUCCCCCCUCUGCGGCGGCGGUUCAAAGGCACGUUUGCUGUUAAAUAUAACUGUGACAUUGGCGUGUUUCAUGUCCUGACUUUAUUGAUUUCAGCGUGUGGAUGACGAUCCUCAGAGGGUGAGGCAGAUGUUGUACACAAGGUCAGGUGACCCCCAUUAAAAAAGCACAUUUCUACUGUUUCCAGAUAUUACAGCUUCAUUGGUGCAUAACUGAAGUGCAGCUUCUACGCUCUAUUGAUUUCUACGCUCUCUAAUCCUUUAGGUUUCUGAGAACUACGUCCGUGUUUCUCUUCUUUUUUUAAAUCAGAGAUCGAGGAAAGAGGAGGAAACAGACACAAAAACAGGGAAAGAGGGAGGAAAAGGUUUUGUGUUUAAUGGUUGUUUUUUCUUUUUUUUUUUGAUUGCCCUCUUGUCUUUUUUUUUCUUAUUUUUUUAUUUCAUAAGUUGUUUUUCUCUCCUCGUGUGUCGAGCCUCGUUGUUGUUGUCGGUGUUUCCUCCCUCCUGUUUGAUUGCCCUCCGUUUGUUCCACCUGUGUCUCAUUGAUUAGGGUUUGAUUGUCCCUCUCCGUAUUUAGACGCUCUGUUUCUUCUCUGUGACGGUUCGUCGUCUUUAACCCUCCUCAGUUCUCCGUCCGCCUCCUUUUUAGUCUUUUUAAAACCUGUUUUCUGGACUUUCUGUUGGACUUUGUUUUGAUUUUAGUUUUUCUUGGACAUCUCGCUGACUCUUCCUGUUUUUCACUUUCACAUUUUCUCACCUUUUAACCUUAAACACAGAAAAUAGUGGAGCACAGUUUAUGCCCCAGAGACUGAGCGGCUCUGUUAAUUAAAAAGUGCUGCCAGUAGAAAGUCCACCUGGCUUUUUAAUACCCAGCAUGCUUUGUGCAGUGGAGCAGCUCCUGGUUUCUCUGAGUACCCACUUCUUUAUUUUAAGAGUAACACUUAAAUAAAUCCUCUCAUGUUCUGGUUUCAUGGUGGGCAGCAGCUCAGUCCCAUUUAACCCGUCAGUCAGCUCGCUCCAUGUACUUAAAUUUUUCCUACUCUCAGUUAAAUCAAGUUUAUCUGGUUUUAUUGUGUUUGAACAGUCAGAUUAAUUCAGGAUCAUUUUAGUUUAAAGAAACUCAAACCUACUGAAGUCCAGAUCUAGAAUCUUCCUUUAUCUCUGUUCAAAAAUGAAAAGGCUUAAAAAUAGAAACUUUCUUUACUGAGUGAAAACUUCACAUCUUAACUCAUUCAAAACAUAACUUAACUGACUUUUUCCUGAUUACAUCAAGGUGCAUUCUGGGUAAUGAAGUCCUUUUAUCGAACUUAAAGCUUUAGCUGUAAGAUGAUGCUCUUCCUCCUCU